GCUCUGACCCGCGACUCAUCACAGAUCUGUGUUCUUGUUUGUAAUCGUAUCUGUGUGUCACGAUCUGAUGUGGAUUAGCAGCGAGUACAAAAUAAAAGUAUAUUUAUAUCUCAAUCUGUCCAUCUGUCACUGGGGAUCUGCCUUCCUGCUUUUUAAUGAGCGUCUGCGCUAAGUGCGGAUCUUCGUCUCGGCGCUAACGUGUCAUGCCUGUUAUUUAUUUCAGAAGAGCAGAUGGAAGGAGAGCGAGGGCGAGGAGAGGAGGAGGUAAAGUUCGGCGCACUUCCUGUUGAUCUGCGGGCCGGAAGCGGCGUGACGGGAGCAGCUGUAGGGUCGCUCUGUGCUGCUGAACGGCGGUGUGGCAGCGAGGAUCUGGAACACUUUGAUUAUUGAGGAAGAAGAGGAGUGCGGAUCAAACGGACCGCUGUGAGCAAAGAUAAACCCAGAAAUCCCUCACCGAGGAGCGUGAACUCUCCUUAACAUUGUUUAUGUCGACUUCAUCGCCCGAGCUGAGGAGCUGCUCCAGAGACACCACUGAAGAAUAUCUGGAGGAUGAGGAAGUGUGCUGAGGUGUCGCUCUGUACAUCUGGAGUUUCUUUCUGCCACGCUGUCUGAUUCUGAGACACGACACGCACCUCGCACCCCGACUCGUCUUCCUGCCCGAGACACAGGCGAGGAACCAGAAGCCAAACUGAAGAGUUUAGAAGUCAGACGGAGGAAAACUUUUCGUUUUGAUUCCUCCUUCUGCCCUGGACAUGAACCUGAAAAACUCUGAAUUCCUCUGUCACAUGAGUGAAGAACCGAAGAAGAAACACAAAGAGAGAGAGAGAGAGAGAGAGAGAGAGAGAGAGAGAGGAUGGAAAAUAAUCUCAUAUAGCUUGAAAUCUCUUUGGAUAUUUUUAAAGCCUGGUUUCAAAAACAUAUUCACGGCUGGGAAUUCAGUUCAGAGCUGCUGCAGGAUGAUAGAAGGAGGACGGUGAUUAGCGUGAAGAAAGUCUGUGUGUGUGUGUGUCUGAGACUCUCCUCUGCAUCUCACCCUGAAGCAUGCAGUUGUGUCUGUUACAUGUCUCUAAGAGCAGCGUCCAGCUCACAACAAGGUGGCGUUAAUCUGCGCUAAUUUCUUGCUAUAAGCCUCCUGACCACCAGGAGGAGCCAUGAUUUUUACACACGUGCAAAAAAAACGUUCAUGUUUGCAGAAAAGCUUCACAAGCGGUUCACAAAGAAACCUGCGAUCACGUGGAAUGUUUAUAUCUGUUUAACGUGACAUGAACGCUAAUGAAUUAAUUGGGUUUAGAUGCUAAUUUAUCCACUUUAUCACUCCGGCUUGUUUAGGUAAGUGAGGUAUAAAAAGUUCCUGGCUAUUGUGGUGCUGUAAGGUGAUAUUUUGGGGGCGUGGCCAGGGCUAGAA